UUAAAAGAAAAUAUAGACAAAUAUGGAUAAAAGAUAGGAAGGUAGUAAAACUUUUAAUAGUAAUGCUAUCCUUUUAGAAAAAAUAGCUUCUACUUACUUAUAGAACCAAAAAUAAGGCAAAAUAAGAUUGAUUGGAAAAAUAAAUGAUAUAGACAUCUUUAAGAAGAAGUUAAGAUUAAAUUCUAAUAAAAAUUAUUUAAAAAAAAACUAGAUGUUGAUACCUAGAGAGGGCCGGUUAUGAACCAGGGUCAAAAUCAGACCCAGAGGUAGAAAACUGAGUCUCGACGACGACUCCCGAACUCUUUGGCAGAUCCAAGAGUAGGAUUUGAUAGCGGAUUGGAUAGGAUUUCUAUAGGCAUUAAUUUUGGGUGAUUUGGAGUUGUUAUGACUUUGUAAGAGCUUUGCAAAGUCAAGGUUUGUUUCAGAUGACUUAGGUUUUAUGAAAUAAAAUAGGGUUUACAUUUUAAAUGAUUUCAAGAGUUUUGUAAUAGAUAUAUAGAUGAAAUUUUGUGGAUUUAUGGUUAUAGUUUUGUUUAAUAUGUAUUACAAAUUUGAGCUUGAUCUAAUGGAUAAUUUGAGGAAUAUUGAGGUUUAAGUGGGUCAAGGUCUUAGAAAGUAAAAUUUUAGGUCUAGUGGGGGUUUUUAAGAUUUCUUGCAAUCUACUAAUUGGAUUAGAGUGAAACUUAUGUAAGAAGAUAUAAGACUUGAUUUUCUAUGUGUAUUAGAAUUUUGAAAUCAAUUGAAUAAUGCAAAGGAGAGAUAUUGACUCUGGAAGAUUGGCAUGAAGAUUAGAGAAGGAUGUGAACCAA
rnacentral:lncRNA from 1 species